rnacentral:lncRNA from 1 species
CAGCAUCAUAACAGCUGUCCUUGGUAAAGUAAGCGCGCGCCGGGAACAAAUGUGGCUAACUAGCUAACUCGACUGAGAAGGUCCUACCUGGAGGUUCUAAGUUCACGCAUAACUCCAUUCUCAACCACCUCUAGAGGCAGAAACCUGACCAGCAACUCAAAACGUGGGCAUUCAUUGGACCCAGCCAUAUACAGAACAGGGAGUAGUCGGAGUGAGGCCCAAAGUGAGAGAAUGGAAGACAACCAGACACCCCUGUCCAACCAGCAGCUUGUGCAGCUCAUAAGAUCUUUCAUCCUAGUAGAACAGGGGCAGAGGCAGGAGCCCAGAGCUCUCACUACGGACCUGAAACCGAUACAGGAGGACUUGCACCUGAAGAAGACCAAUGUCUAUAGAUCUAUACCCUACUCACGCCUGGGGUCCAACAGAGACGCACACUGUUACAGAAAGGCAUAUCCACACCUGGUGGUGUUUAAAGUUUCCUGCCAGGAGUGGGGUCAGCUGCUGCUGCAGAACGAGGAGUGGGAGUCUACUCUGGAGCACGCCCUAGUGGCGUGGAGGUACACCAGCGAGCUGCCACAGUGGGACACCAGCAGCCACAACUCGGUGAGGGAACAGUGUUACAUCAUGCUGGCAGCACACUGCAUCACAGCUCUACAGCACUAUUGCCCAGACCCCAGCAAAGCCAUAGAGCUGCACAGGAGGUUUAAAAUGGCACAGCUGCACAGUCAGUUGAUCUAUCCUUGUAUUCAGGAGCUGGAGAGAAGCCUCAGCGAAGCACAGGUUUGUUCCAUGAACACCCGCUGAAAUGCCCAACCUGCUGAAAUGGCCAACACUAAGAUCAGCUGACAACAAUCAGCACGGCUUCCAAGUCUAUGGGGUUGCACUAUUGAACAGCGUAUAUCAGUGGUUGCCAUUCAACUAUGUUUGGUAUCCUUGCCUUGUGUUGCGCUAUUCCCCCUUGCCUUGCCUACAGUAUUCCCCCCUUGCCUUGCCUACAGUAUUCCCCCUUGCCUUGCCUACAGUAUUCCCCCUUGCCUUGCCUACAGUAUUCCCCCUUGCCUUGCCUACAGUAUUCCCCUUGCCUUGCCUACAGUAUUCCCCCUUGCCUUGCCUACAGUAUUCCCCCUUGCCUUGCCUACAGUAUUCCCCCUUGCCUUGCCUACAGUAUUCCCCCUUGCCUUGCCUACAGUAUUCCCCCUUGCCUUGCCUACAGUAUUCCGCCUUGCCUUGCCUACAGUAUUCCCCUUGCCUUGCCUACAGUAUUCCGCCUUGCCUACAGUAUUCCCCUUGCCUACAGUAUUCCGCCUUGCCUUGUCUAAAGUAUUCCCUCAGAGUAAAUACAAGAGAAAGCUUUGAUGAAUUUUGGUAAGCUGUUUUUUAAAUAUGAAUUUAAGCUUUUUGUAUUAAGUUGUUUUGUAAAAUGUGUUUAUUGCCAUUGAACUAUUGAAUGUUAUCAUAAGGAAAUUAUGAAAUGGCCUUUAAAAUGUGAAAUGCUGUCAUAGGGAAAUGAACUGUCCUUUUCACCUAGAUGUUUUAUAUGUGGGGGAUGUUUUUGUAGAUGUGUUGAAAAAUGCCACGAUACAUGAAACAGCUGCCUUAUUUCAACUUGGCUGAAUGCUACCUGUUUUGUAAAUAUUUGUCUAAAAUAACUGUUUUGCACUUAUGUUCUUCAUCCUGGAAACUUGACAUUUUGAUAAAAUAGAA